rnacentral:rRNA from 1 species
AUUGAACGCUGGCGGCAGGCCUAACACAUGCAAGUCGAACGAGCGGCGGACGGGUGAGUAAUGUCUGGGAAACUGCCUGAUGGAGGGGGAUAACUACUGGAAACGGUAGCUAAUACCGCAUACUAUCGGAUGUGCCCAGAUGGGAUUAGCUAGUAGGUGGGGUAAAGGCUCACCUAGGCGACGAUCCCUAGCUGGUCUGAGAGGAUGAUCAGCCACACUGGAACUGAGAAACGGUCCAGACUCCUACGGGAGGCAGCAGUGGGGAAUAUUGCGCAAUGGGCGAAAGCCUGAUGCAGCCAUGCCGCGUGUAUGAAGAAGGCCUUCGGGUUGUAAAGUACUUUCAGCGGGGAGGCGUUACCCGCAGAAGAAGCACCGGCUAACUCCGUGCCAGCAGCCGCGGUAAUAC